GCUAGAGUUUGAUCCUGGCUCAGGAUGAACGCUAGCUACAGGCUUAACACAUGCAAGUCGAGGGGCAGCAUGAACUUAGCUUGCUAAGUUUGAUGGCGACCGGCGCACGGGUGAGUAACACGUAUCCAACCUUCCCAUAACUCCGGGAUAGCCCUCUGAAAGGAGGAUUAAUACCGGAUGGUAUCAGAAUUCCGCAUGUUAUUUUGAUUAAAGAUUAAUCGGUUAUGGAUGGGGGUGCGUUCCAUUAGAUAGUUGGCGGGGUAACGGCCCACCAAGUCUACGAUGGAUAGGGGUUCUGAGAGGAAGGUCCCCCACAUUGGAACUGAGACACGGUCCAAACUCCUACGGGAGGCAGCAGUGAGGAAUAUUGGUCAAUGGACGAGAGUCUGAACCAGCCAAGUAGCGUGAAGGAUGACUGCCCUAUGGGUUGUAAACUUCUUUUAUAAGGGAAUAACAGACGUUACGUGUAGCGUUUUGCAUGUACCUUAUGAAUAAGCAUCGGCUAACUCCGUGCC
rnacentral:rRNA from 1 species